AGCUCUCAAACAUAUACUUUUCUUUAUUGCGAAGUAUAUGGUUGGAUUUGGACUCUGCUGUGUAACAAACGGCUGGUCCGAAAGAUAUUAGCUGAUCCUAGUGAGACUUGGUUCUACUCGGCGUGAUAAUUAUCUAACGUCGAGGACAUCGCAAGAUGGCCAGAUCGAAACUUUAUGGAUUGCUUCUAAUCGUCUUCAUCGACAAAUUUUAUCA
rnacentral:misc_RNA from 2 species